CAAGGAGUAGUUUAACUAGAAUUUCAGCUUUGGGUGCUGAAGGUAAGACUUUGGGUCUUUUCCUUG
rnacentral:tRNA from 1 species